AACGCACAUUGCGCCCCUCGGUAUUCCGGGGGGCAUGCCUGUUCGAGCGUCAUUACUCUCCUCAAGCGUAGCUUGGUCUUGGGAUCUCGCCCCUGCGGCGUGCCCGAAAAAGAUGGGCGGUCCGGUGUGACUUCAAGCGUAGUAAAUUACCUCCCGCUUUGAAUUUCGCCCCGUGGCUGCCCGACAACCCACGAUAAUCUAUCAAUCAUUGACCUCGGAUCAGGUAGGGAUACCCGCUGAACUUAA
rnacentral:misc_RNA from 1 species